rnacentral:rRNA from 1 species
UACGUAGGGUGCAAGCGUUGUCCGGAAUUAUUGGGCGUAAAGAGCUCGUAGGCGGUUUGUCGCGUCUGCUGUGAAAACCUAGGGCUUAACCCUGGGCCUGCAGUGGGUACGGGCAGACUAGAGUGCGGUAGGGGAGACUGGAAUUCCUGGUGUAGCGGUGGAAUGCGCAGAUAUCAGGAGGAACACCGAUGGCGAAGGCAGGUCUCUGGGCCGCAACUGACGCUGAGGAGCGAAAGCAUGGGGAGCGAACAGG